rnacentral:rRNA from 1 species
AUUGAACGCUGGCGGCAUGCUUUACACAUGCAAGUCGAACGGCAGCGCGGGCUUCGGCCUGGCGGCGGGUGGCGGACGGGUGGGUAAUGCAUCGGAACGUGCCCAGCUGUGGGGGCUAGCCCGGCGACGGCGGGAUUAAUACGGCAAUAGCCCUGACGGUGUACGGGUGGGACCAGAAGGCCUUCGGCCCUUGCGGCGGCCGAUGUCGGAUUAGCUAGUUGGUGGGGUAAAGGCUUACCAAGGCGACGAUCCGUAGCUGGUCUGAGAGGACGACCAGCCACGCUGGGACUGAGACACGGCCCAGACUCCUACGGGAGGCAGCAGUGGGGAAUUUUGGACAAUGGGGGCAACCCUGAUCCAGCCAUGCCGCGUGCGUGAAGAAGGCCUUCGGGUUGUAAACCGCUUUUGUUCGGGAAGAAAUCCUGUGGGCUAAUACCCCGGGGGUAUGACGGUACCGGAAGAAUAAGCACCGGCUAACUACGUG